rnacentral:rRNA from 1 species
UACAGAGGUCCCAAGCGUUGUUCGGAUUCACUGGGCGUAAAGGGUGCGUAGGUGGUGAGGUAAGUCGGAUGUGAAAGCUCCGAGCUCAACUCGGAAAUGGCAUUGGAAACUACCUUGCUAGAGGGUUUGAGGGGGGACUGGAAUACUUGGUGUAGCAGUGAAAUGCGUAGAUAUCAAGUGGAACACCAGUGGCGAAGGCGAGUCCCUGGAAACUCCUGACACUGAGGCACGAAAGCUAGGGGAGCAAACAGG